rnacentral:rRNA from 1 species
UACAGAGGGUGCGAGCGUUAAUCGGAAUUACUGGGCGUAAAGGGCGCGUAGGUUGUUUUUUAAGUGAGAUGUGAAAUCCCUGGGCUUAACCUAGGAAUUGCAUCUUAUACUGGAAGACUGGAGUACUGUAGAGGGUAGUGGAAUUUCCGGUGUAGCGGUGAAAUGCGUAGAUAUCGGAAGGAACACCAGUGGCGAAGGCGGCUACCUGGACAGAUACUGACACUGAGGCGCGAGAGCGUGGGGAGCAAACAGG